CGAGGCAGAAAUGCGUAGUCGAUGGGAAACGGGUUAAUAUUCCCGUACUGGUGAUAAUUGCGAUGGGGGGACGGAGAAGGCUAGGCUGGCCGGGCGACGGUUGUCCCGGUUUAAGGAUGUAGGCAGGUGAAUUAGGCAAAUCCGGUUCACUACAUGCUGAGGUCUGAUGACGAGUCACUACGGUGGCGAAGUAGCUCAUGCCCCGCUUCCAGGAAAAGCCUCUAAGCUCUAGAUUAUCACUAAUCGUACCCCAAACCGACACAGGUGGUCAGGUAGAGAAUACUCAGGCGCUUG
rnacentral:rRNA from 1 species